rnacentral:rRNA from 1 species
AAAUUGAAGAGUUUGAUCAUGGCUCAGAUUGAACGCUGGCGGCAGGCCUAACACAUGCAAGUCGAACGGUAACAGGAAGCAGCUUGCUGCUUCGCUGACGAGUGGCGGACGGGUGAGUAAUGUCUGGGAAACUGCCUGAUGGAGAGGGAUAACUACUGGAAACGGUGGCUAA